GACGAACGCUGGCGGCGUGCUUAACACAUGCAAGUCGAACGGAAAGGCCCUGCUUUUGUGGGGUGCUCGAGUGGCGAACGGGUGAGUAACACGUGAGUAACCUGCCCUUGACUUUGGGAUAACUUCAGGAAACUGUGGCUAAUACCGGAUAGGAGCUCCUGCUGCAUGGUGGGGGUUGGAAAGUUUCGGCGGUUGGGGAUGGACUCGCGGCUUAUCAGCUUGUUGGUGGGGUAGGGGCUUACCAAGGCUUUGGCGGGUAGCCGGCCUGAGAGGGUGACCGGCCACAUUGGGACUGAGAUACGGCCCAGACUCCUACGGGAGGCAGCAGUGGGGAAUAUUGCACAAUGGGCGGAAGCCUGAUGCAGCAACGCCGCGUGCGGGAUGACGGCCUUCGGGUUGUAAACCGCUUUCGCCUGUGACGAAGCGUGAGUGACGGUAAUGGGUAAAGAAGCACCGGCUAACUACGUG
rnacentral:rRNA from 1 species